AAACCAACAGGGAUUGCCUCAGUAACGGCGAGUGAAGCGGCAAGAGCUCAAAUUUGAAAUCUGGUCCCCUCGGGGCCCGAGUUGUAAUUUGGAGAGGAUACUUUGGGCGUGGUCGCGGCGUAAGUCCCUUGGAACAGGGCGUCACAGAGGGUGAGAAUCCCGUCUUGCGCUGCGUCCCGCGCCCGUGUAAAGUUCCUUCGACGAGUCGAGUUGUUUGGGAAUGCAGCUCUAAGUGGGUGGUAAAUUUCAUCUAAAGCUAAAUAUUGGCCGGAGACCGAUAGCGCACAAGUAGAGUGAUCGAAAGGUUAAAAGCACCUUGAAAAGGGAGUUAAAUAGCACGUGAAAUUGUUGAAAGGGAAGCGCUUGCAACCAGACUCGGUUCCGGGGGCUCAGCGGGCAUGCGUGCCCGUGUACUCCCCCGUCUCCGGGCCAGCAUCAGUUCGAGCGGCCGGUCAAAGGCCCCGGGAACGUAUCAUCCUCCGGGAUGCCUUAUAGCCCGGGGUGCAAUGCGGCCAGCUCGGACUGAGGAACGCGCCUCGGCACGGAUGCUGGCAUAAUGGUUGUAAGCGGC
rnacentral:rRNA from 2 species